rnacentral:rRNA from 1 species
UGUGCCAGCAGCCGCGGUAAUACGAAGGGUGCAAGCGUUACUCGGAAUUACUGGGCGUAAAGCGUGCGUAGGUGGUUCGUUAAGUCUGGUGUGAAAGCCCUGGGCUCAACCUGGGAACUGCAUUGGAUACUGGCGAUCUGGAGUGCGGUAGAGGGUAGCGGAAUUCCCGGUGUAGCAGUGAAAUGCGUAGAUAUCGGGAGGAACAUCCGUGGCGAAGGCGGCUACCUGGACCAGCACUGACACUGAGGCACGAAAGCGUGGGGAGCAAACAGGAUUAGAUA